CCUACGGGAGGCAGCAGUGGGGAAUAUUGCGCAAUGGGCGAAAGCCUGACGCAGCGACGCCGCGUGAGGGAUGAAGGUCUUCCGAUCGGUAACCUCUGUCAGCAGGGAAGAACGGUCACUGUGCUAAUCAGCAGUGAAGUGACGGUACCUGCAAAGGAAGCACCGGCUAACUCCGUGCCAGCAGCCGCGGUAAGACGGAGGGUGCGAGCGUUAAUCGGAAUUACUGGGCGUAAAGCGCUCGUAGGCGGUAUGUCAAGUCAAGGGUGAAAUCCCCUCGCUCAACGUGGGAACUGCCUUGUAAACUGGCAAACUGGAGUGUGCGAGAGGAUAGUGGAAUUCCAGGUGGAGGAGUGAAAUCCGUAGAUAUCUGGAGGAACAUCAGUGGCGAAGGCGACUAUCUGGCACAUAACUGACGCUGAGGAGCGAAAGCGUGGGUAGCAAACAGGAUUAGAUACCCGGGUAGUC
rnacentral:rRNA from 1 species